rnacentral:rRNA from 1 species
UAGAGUUUGAUCAUGGCUCAGGAUGAACGCUAGCGACAGGCCUAACACAUGCAAGUCGAGGGGCAUCGGGGCGAGGAGCAAUCCUUGCCGCCGGCGACCGGCGCACGGGUGAGUAACGCGUAUGCGACCUGCCCGUUGCAGGGGGAUAAUCGGGAGAAAUCCCGUCUAAUACCGCGUAAUGCCGCGGGGCUGCAUGGCCCUGCGGCCAAAGGGAGCGAUUCCGGCAACGGAUGGGCAUGCGUGACAUUAGCUAGUUGGCGGGGCAACGGCCCACCAAGGCGACGAUGUCUAGGGGUUCUGAGAGGAAGGUCCCCCACACUGGUACUGAGACACGGACCAGACUCCUACGGGAGGCAGCAGUGAGGAAUAUUGGUCAAUGGGCGCGAGCCUGAACCAGCCAAGUCGCGUGAGGGAUGACGGCCCUACGGGUUGUAAACCUCUUUUGUCGGGGAGCAAAUUCCGCCACGUGUGGCGGAGUCGAGAGUACCCGAAGAAAAAGCAUCGGCUAACUCCGUGCCAGCAGCCGCGGUAAUACGGAGGAUGCGAGCGUUAUCCGGAUUUAUUGGGUUUAAAGGGUGCGUAGGCGGACUGUCAAGUCAGCGGUAAAAUACGGGGGCUCAACCUCCGCCCGCCGUUGAAACUGACGGUCUUGAGUGGGCGAGAAGUAUGCGGAAUGCGUGGUGUAGCGGUGAAAUGCAUAGAUAUCACGCAGAACUCCGAUUGCGAAGGCAGCAUACCGGCGCCCAACUGACGCUGAAGCACGAAAGCGUGGGUAUCGAACAGGAUUAGAUACCCUGGUAGUCCACGCAGUAAACGAUGAAUACUAGCUGUCCGGGGCGAAUGAGCCCUGGGUGGCACAGCGAAAGCGUUAAGUAUUCCACCUGGGGAGUACGCCGGCAACGGUGAAACUCAAAGGAAUUGACGGGGGCCCGCACAAGCGGAGGAACAUGUGGUUUAAUUCGAUGAUACGCGAGGAACCUUACCCGGGCUCAAACGACACAGGAACGUACCUGAAAGGGUUCGGCUCUACGGAGCCUGUGUCGAGGUGCUGCAUGGUUGUCGUCAGCUCGUGCCGUGAGGUGUCGGCUUAAGUGCCAUAACGAGCGCAACCCCCAUCGACAGUUGCUAACAGGUCAGGCUGAGGACUCUGUCGAGACUGCCGGCGCAAGCUGCGAGGAAGGCGGGGAUGACGUCAAAUCAGCACGGCCCUUACGUCCGGGGCGACACACGUGUUACAAUGGCAGGUACAGCGGGAAGCCACCUGGCGACAGGGAGCGGAACCCGAAAGCCUGUCUCAGUUCGGAUUGGAGUCUGCAACCCGACUCCAUGAAGCUGGAUUCGCUAGUAAUCGCGCAUCAGCCACGGCGCGGUGAAUACGUUCCCGGGCCUUGUACACACCGCCCGUCAAGCCAUGGAAGCCGGGGGUGCCUGAAGUGCGCUGCCGCGAGGAGCGCCCUAGGGUAAAACCGGUGACUGGGGCUAAGUCGUAACAAGGUAACCGUA